CUUCUAUAACUGGCUUCACAACCAUCUACGGAACAGAUAUAUGGCCUCUCGAGCGAAUGACUUUGCAUAUGUUGCUUCAAGUAAGCAGGCUUCCUGAACUCAGCGCCACAUUCCUGGCAAAUAUUGGAUUUUCUGUUUUUUGUUUUAUCAUCUCCAUCAUCAUUAUGUUUCCCGAUCUCCAUCUUAGAGUCGGUGACGUGGGAAUUCUUGCG
rnacentral:misc_RNA from 1 species